rnacentral:rRNA from 1 species
CGUAGGAGGCGAGCGUUAUCCGGAUUCACUGGGCGUAAAGCGCGUGCAGGUGGCUUGGUAAGUUAGGCGUGAAAUCUCCCGGCUCAACUGGGAGAGGUCGUCUAAUACUACCGGGCUAGAGAGCAGAAGAGGAAGAUGGAAUUCCCGGUGUAGUGGUGAAAUGCGUAGAUAUCGGGAGGAACACCAGUGGCGAAGGCGAUCUUCUGGUCUGUUUCUGACACUCAGACGCGACAGCUAGGGUAGUAAACGGGAUUAGAGACCCCGGUAAUCCUAGCCGUAAACGAUGUGAACUUGGCGUUGGUGGGUUAAACUCCAUCAGUGCCGAAGCAAACGCGAUAAGUUCACCGCCUGGGGACUACGGCCGCAAGGUUA